rnacentral:misc_RNA from 1 species
UUUAACCUAAAUCUUACACACUGCACUUUUAAAUAAUGAUAAUAAAGUAUCAAAACUCAAUUUUAAGAGACCCUUCUACAAGAAUGAAUAUUGUAAUAGAACGAUUAAUAGAAAGAUAAAAAAACAAACAUUAAAAGAUCCAAAAAGCGUGGCUCCACUGUCAUAAACUAGUUUAUAUAGGCAACCUUUAGAGGCAGGCGGUAAAAGGAGAUG